ensembl:lncRNA
AAGCAGCACAGUAUACUUUUAGCAAAUUUUUGUUACUUUGAUGUAUGUGCAAUGUGUGUAAUCAAUUGCGGGAUUGACUUGCGUCCUUCUCCUGAACUUCUGUGACUGAGGUCAUCAGUGAGUGUGUUCAGCUAUGCAGGAAAGCACUCUUCUUUUCUUUCAACCUGCACAAUGUGCCAUUUUUUGGUGGGAUCACAACACAUCUCUAAGAAAAGCUUUUGUUUGAUGAUGGGAUAGAGUGUGCGUGCUAUUGUGUUUAUUGACAGAUGAUCCUGUGUGUUUGUUUCUCUCUGCUUUCAUACAAUAUGUCCUUGCAUGAGAGGUGUGUCACAGUACCAGUGUCUCCUAUCACUAGCCUGCUGCCUGAGGGACAUGCCUGUGUGUGUGUGUGUGUGUGUAAGAGAGAGAGAGAGAGAGAGAGAGAGAAAGAGAGAGAGUAAAAUCAGUGUCAGAAAUAAUUUCACAGCUCACACAUUCUCGAUUUAAUUAUCUAUAAUUUCCAAGAACACAAUAUGCCUGCUCCUUCUCCAUAAUUCUUAUCUACUCCUUUUACAUUUACUGUAUAUUUUAGGGGUGUAACUCAAUGCCGUUAUCUGUAUUGGUAUUUGCUAAUUGCUUCAAAUAUCUGUAUCUGUGUCUGUUGAAUUAAAUGUGAAUUGGGUGUGGCUAAAAGGGUUUGUUUAUUUGUUUGUUUGUUUGUUUGUUUGUUUGUUUUAAUGAUCCCAUUAGAAAUAAGUAGAAAAGCCAGCACUGUCAGCUUGUUCACUGCAAGUUCAUGUUAAUGAACGUUGUCUUUGUCCCACAAGCUUCAUACUCGCUCCCUUCAUACUCGUGCCCAUAUCACAUGAAAUAUGCCUCCUAUUUUUAUAUAGCACCUCGUAUUUGUGUCUGCAUCUGUAUUCAUUUACAAUAUAUUAUCUGUUCAUUCAGAAUAAUGCAUUGAUAUUUUAUUAUAUCCCCAGCAUACUAGAGGUGUUCGGGAUUUGGUGCCUUUUUGUGUGCUCAUAUUUAUUUUUUGUGAUGUGUGCACAUGUGUAUAUGAUUUAACUACUGAGGUAUAAUUGUUACAUGAGAGAGAUGAGUGAUGUUCCAUGACAGAACAGAAAGGGGAUGUUAGUGCACAUGUGUCUAAGGACUGACUGCAUUUGUAUAUGUGUAUAUUCUGCGUAGGAUGUGGACAGUGGGCAUGGACAGAGGAAGAGCAGCAGUGACUCCUAUGGUUCUCCAGUUGAAGAGAGUGAGGGGGUGUGGAAAAGGAGAGUGCCUGAUCUCUCCUCAAAUAGUGGAUCUAAUGCUCACUGAUCUGAUUUGCAGGGAUGUUUGGUGUCGCCUGUGAUGUGUCCAGUCCCGAAGACUUUGCUUGCACAGGAACAGAGUAUUUAACCACUUCUUCAGCUUUAACCUUUAACCCACCUUAAUGAGCCUUAAUGAGCACUUUUUUAGCUCAGUGCCUUUACACCUUGUCCUCACCCCCCCAAUGCCCCUUCUCCGUCCACUGUGAGGACACUCCAGCUCAGUGCACCUAAACUAGGAACAGUACAGGAGGACAACAGCUCUGUAAAUGAGUUUUGGCUUGUUCUCAUCUUCUGUAAUGUCCCUUUUCUAAUGUGUGAUUGAAUUUCUCUCCAGGAAGUAACAUCCUCUGAGAAACACUAAAAGAACAUGCCAUUUGGUGCAGUAUAAAUAUAUCUUGUAUAACAACAAAUAGCUGCUAGAAAAGAGAUAUUCACAAUUUGUCAGUGGACACAGGGAGAGUGAUUUCUUUCAUUACAUAUUCAUUUUAAUUUUACAUUCAUAAACUCUCACUGUGCUCAGCUGUUUCUCAGAGUUAAAACUGACAUAUGCUAGCAGGGCAUUGUUGGAAUACAUUGAAAAAUUAUGGCUAGGAAUUAUUUUCAGAGACCAUGUGCUCUAGUAUUUGGGACAUUUAUAGUAUUCUAGUAAGAAUAGACUUUAGCGCUUCUCGCCAUGUGGGAUUGUUAAUCAGGGUCUUGAUAAUUAGCUGAUCAUCUGAAACAGGUGUGCUAGCACACAAAACAAAAUAAAAUGUGUCCUGUACUGCUGGAAAUGUCCAUGCACCCUCUUAACUGUACUUUUGCUCCCCUUUUCAGUUUUAUAGCAUGUCUUUGAAUAAGUGUGUAAAAUCUUACUUACUAGUAGUUAAUACAGACAGGGUUUAAAACAUUAUUAUGCAGGUAAUUCACAGCAUUUGCCAUUGCCAUUUUUCAAAGCUUGACUACACUUGUUGCAUUUAUUAUAGUCUCUAUCACAAAUGCAUUAUAUUAAAAUCCUAUUAAUUCUCAUGUUCUGAGUGAUUCCUAUUGAUUCUGAACCUGAUAUCUGAUAUAAUGUUCAAUAAUUAUGAAUAUAUUCAGGUUUAUGGAAAAUGGGUGUGUUAUUUGUGUGUGUUUUCCUUUAACUUAUUAGAUGUAGUGUGUAGAAUACUGUGAUUAUCAGUUCAAGUGGAAAAGGUACUGGUGUUGCCCUAUACUUGUGUGCAUGUAUACUGAAUGCAUACCUUUAGUGCAGCUAAACAUUUCAGGUGGACAUUACAUAGCUGUAAAUUACAUGGAUCACAAUGAAGUAAGCAGUAUGUAAUGGCACACAUAUAAUAAUGCACUACACAUAUGAGGGUUAUGUGUAACAAACAGGUAUGAGGGCUGAGAAAAGGAAAAAAAAAAAGCUUUUUGACAAAGCUGAGCACAAAGAGAAACACACUGGUCUGCUCAUGCUUGUUUCAAAGACAGUUCUGCUGUAAUAUAUUUCCAAAUUGUGCAUUAAAGUGUAAUGCAUAAAC